rnacentral:rRNA from 1 species
GAGUUUGAUCAUGGCUCAGGACGAACGCUGGCGGCGUGCUUAACACAUGCAAGUCGAACGGAAACGCCCCCACUUUUUUGGUGGGGGUGCUCAAGUGGCGAACGGGUGAUUAACACUUGGGUGAUCUGCCCUGCACUUCGAGAUAAGCUUGGGAAACUGGGUCUAAUACCGGAUAGGACCAUGGUUAAGUGUCUCAUGGUGGAAAAAUUAUUGUUUUGGUGCAGGAUAAUCUCGCGGCCUAUCAUCUUGUUGGUGGGGUAAUGGCCUGACCAAGGCGUCGACGGGUAUCCGGCCUGAAACGGUGGACCGCCACACUUGGGACUGACAUACAGCCCAAACUCCUGCAGGAGGCAGCAAUGGGGAAUAUUGCACACUGGGCGCAAUGCCUGAUGCCGCCACGCCGCGUGGGGGAUGACGGCCUUCAGGUUGUAAACUCCUUUCAUUAAGGACGAAGCCUCACCUGUUUUGGGUGUGGUGACUGUACCUUUGUUAAGAAGCACCUGCUAACUUCCUGCCAGCCGCCGCAGUAAUACGUAUGGUGCCAUCGUUCUCCAGAAUUACUGGGCGUACAGACCCCGAAGGUGGUUUGUUGCGGCUUCUGUGAAAUUCCGGGGCUUAACUUCAGGGUGGUCAUGCGAUACGGGACUAACUAGAGUGCUAGUAAGGUAGACAUGCAAUUCCUGGUGUUGCAGUGGAAUGCGCAGAUAUCAGGAGGAACACCGAUGGCGAAGGCAGCUCUCUGGGCAGUAACUGACGCUGAGGAGCGAAAGCAUGGGGAGCGAACAGGAUUAGAUACCCUGGUAGUCCAUGCUGUAAACGGUGGGCGUUAGGUGUGGGGACCGCUUUGGUUUCUGUGCGGUAGCUAACGCAUUAAGCGCCCCGCCUGGGGAGUACGGCCGCAAGGCUAAAACUCAAAGGAAUUGACGGGGGCCCGCCCCAGCGGCGGAGCAUGUGGAUUAAUUUGAUGCAACGGGAAGAACCUUACCUGGGUUUGACAUGCACCAGACUGUUGUAGAGACACGUACCUCCCUUUGUGGUCGGUGUGCAGGUGGUGCAUGGUUGUCGUCAGCUCGUGUUGUGAGAUGUUGGGUUAAGUUCCGCAACGAGCGCAACCCCUGUCUUAUGUUGCCAGCACUUUGGGUGGGGACUCAUGAGAGACUGCCGGGGUUCACUCGGAGGAAGGUGGGGAUGACGUCAAAUCAUCAUGCCCCUUAUGCCCAGGGCUUCACACAUGCUACAAUGGUUAGUACAACGGGCAGCACACCUGUGAGGGUGAGGGAAUUGUUGAAAGCUAAUCUCAGUUCGGAUUGGGGUUUGCAACUCGACCCCAUGAAGUUGGAGUUGCUAGUAAUUGCAGAUCAGCAAUGCUGCGGUGAAUACGUUCCCGGGCCUUGCACAGGCCGCCCGUC